rnacentral:rRNA from 1 species
CCGGGGGUGUUCACCUCUUCCCAUUCCGAACAGAGAAGUUAAGUCCCCCAUGGCCGAUGGUACUUGCAUCACGCUGGGAGAGUAGGUAGCUGCCAU